rnacentral:rRNA from 1 species
AGAAUCAACGGUGGCGGCGUGCCUAACACGUGCAAGUCGAACGAGAAAGUGGAGCAAUCCAUGACUAAAGUGGCGUACGGGUGAGUAACACGUGACUAACCUACCCUUGAGUGGGGGAUAACUUCGGGAAACCGAGGCUAAUACCGCAUAAUACCGAGAGGUCAAAGGAGCAAUUCGCUUAGGGAGGGGGUCGCGGCUGAUUAGCUAGUUGGUAGGGUAAUGGCCUACCAAGGCAAUGAUCAGUAUCCGGCCUGAGAGGGCGCACGGACACACUGGAACUGAAACACGGUCCAGACUCCUACGGGAGGCAGCAGUGGGGAAUUUUGCACAAUGGGGGAAACCCUGAUGCACCAACGCCGCGUGGAGGAUGAAGUCCCUUGGGAUGUAAACUCCUUUCGACCGGGACGAUAAUGACGGUACUGGUGGAAGAAGCCCCGGCUAACUCUGUGCCAGCAGCCGCGGUAAUACAGAGGGGGCAAGCGUUGUUCGGAAUUAUUGGGCGUAAAGGGUGCGUAGGCGGUGCGGUAAGCCUUCUGUGAAAUCUCCGGGCUCAACUCNGAGUCUGCAGGAGAAACUGCCGUGCUUGAGUAUGGGAGAGGUGAGUGGAAUUCCUGGUGUAGCUGUGAGAUGCGUAGAUAUCAGGACGAACACCUGUGGCGAAAGCGGCUCACUGGACCAUAACUGACGCUGAGGCACGAAAGCUAGGGGUAGCAAACAAUGAUUAGAUACCCUGGUAUUCCUAGCCCUAAACGAUGAUUGCUUGGUGUAGCAAGUACCCAAUCCUGCUGUGCCGCAGAUAACGCGUUAAGCUAUCCGCCUGGGGAGUACGGUCGCAGGCUGAA